rnacentral:rRNA from 1 species
ACUAUAGCUUGACACUGAACAUUGAGCCUUGAUGUGUAGGAUAGGUGGGAGGCUUUGAAGUGUGGACGCCAGUCUGCAUGGAGCCGACCUUGAAAUACCACCCUUUAAUGUUUGAUGUUCUAACGUGGACCCGUGAUCCGGGUUGCGGACAGUGUCUGGUGGGUAGUUUGACUGGGGCGGUCUCCUCCUAAAGAGUAACGGAGGAGCACGAAGGUUGGCUAAUCCUGGUCGGACAUCAGGAGGUUAGUGCAAUGGCAUAAGCCAGCUUGACUGCGAGCGUGACGGCGCGAGCAGGUGCGAAAGCAGGUCAUAGUGAUCCGGUGGUUCUGAAUGGAAGGGCCAUCGCUCAACGGAUAAAAGGUACUCCGGGGAUAACAGGCUGAUACCGCCCAAGAGUUCAUAUCGACGGCGGUGUUUGGCACCUCGAUGUCGGCUCAUCACAUCCUGGGGCUGAAGUAGGUCCCAAGGGUAUGGCUGUUCGCCAUUUAAAGUGGUACGCGAGCUGGGUUUAGAACGUCGUGAGACAGUUCGGUCCCUAUCUGCCGUGGGCGCUGGAGAACUGAGGGGGGCUGCUCCUAGUACGAGAGGACCGGAGUGGACGCAUCACUGGUGUU